CCUACGGGUGGCAGCAGUGAGGAAUAUUGGUCAAUGGGCGAGAGCCUGAACCAGCCAAGUCGCGUGAAGGAUGGCGGCCCUACGGGUUGUAAACUUCUUUUGUCAGGGAGCAAUUGGGUCCACGCGUGGGCUUAGCGAGAGUACCUGAAGAAAAAGCAUGGGCUAACUCCUGGCCAGCAGCGGCGGUAAUACGGAGGAUGCGAGGGUUAUCCGGUUUUAUUGGGUUUAAGGGGUGCGCGGGCGGAAUAUCAGGUCAGCGGGAAAAAUUCGGGGCUCAACCCCGUCGUGCCGUUGAAACUGAUGUGCUGGAGUGCGCGAGAAGUAUGCGGAAUGCGUGGUGUAGCGGUGAAAUGCUUAGAGAUCAUACAGAACACCGAUUGCGAAGGCAGCUUACCAAUCUAUAUCUGACGUUGAGGCACGAAAGCGUGGGGAGCAAACAGGAUUAGAUACCCUAGUAGUC
rnacentral:rRNA from 1 species